UUUUUUUACUAAAAUUUAAAAGGACCAUUUGCUCAAUGUAAAAUAAUUUUGAAUAAGAAUAUGAACUGUGCUAAGGUAGCAUAGUCAUUUACCUUUUAAUGGAAGGUCUGAAUGAAAGAUUUAACAUUUAAAUUACUGUUUUAUUAAAUUUUUUAAAAUGUAAAUUAAGCAUAAAAAUGUGUUUAUAAGUUAAAAAGACGACAAGACCCUAUAGAACUUUACUAAAGUUUAGCUGGGGGAAGCUAAUGAAAUAUAAUUUUAAUUUAAAUCAAAGAAAAAUCUGAUUAAACCAACUAGAAUAAGUUAACAGCGUAAUAAAUUUUUAAAGCUCUUAUUAAAAAAAAAAAAAAAAAAAAGAUUACGAUGUUGAAUUAGAAUUCCUUUAAAUAAACCAGUGCUAAAAGUGGC
rnacentral:rRNA from 1 species